GGAGAUGCCCUAAAUGCCAAAAAUCGAGCCUAACCGAACUCAACUCUCUCCUCCGCCGCACCCGCGACCGCGCCUACCUCCCUCUCUCUCGGUUCCCCGAUGCGCCACCGCCGCUUGCUGCGCCUUGCGCCCUACACCCGCGCCCCGCCGUUCCGCCCCUGGGCACGACGCUGAGGCUAACCCUAGUUGUGGGCUCGGUCGCCGCCGCGCCUCCUGGUUGUCCCCUUUGUGUCCCCGAAGCCAUGCCGCCACCGCGGACCGGGCGGAAGCCUCUCCCAAAGCGCGCGUGGAGGCCAGCUCCACCUUCAAGAGCGGCGUGCUCGUCUAUGGCGGCGAGCUCGUCUGAGGUCAUCAAGCGGCGAGCCCCCACCACGCCCAGAUUUGCUUUCGCGGCCAUGCGGGGAACCGCCGGAUGGAGCACCACCCGGAGCCUGCACAGCAGGGACAAGAAGGGCCCAUGGUCGACCGACCUGGGGCUGGAGGAAGGGGCGUAGCUGCUGCGCUGUGCCGGGCGGCCGGCCGGCCGGUGGCAGCUACAACCCUGCGACGGUCGUGGCUUACUAAUCGGAGAUCGAUGGGAUUGGGAUCUGAGCAAGGACUGGAGUAGAUUGGUUGUUCUGAUCGGAGGAAGUACUUCUUUCAAGGGACCAUGCUGAAUACUGAAGGCGAUGCUGAUCAUUGAUGCUGUACAGGAGCAUAUUCUUCUAAGUAGACAGGGUACACUGCUGAAGACUGGGAUCAACUGAAGGUGAUGCUGUCACGUUGUGAUGAUGUUUGAAUUGGAAACAUGGUGAUGAUGUUCACAGAGUACAUAUUGAGAUAUUGUGCUGAACAUCCACUACAUACUAUGUUGACACUGUGUUUACAGUGUGCAACUGAUAUUGGGUGAUAAUUACAGAAUAAAGUGCACUAGAUUAAUGUGUUGGCACUGUGUGCUUAUUCUUGUAUGACAGUACAUAUGUUCAUAUUGUGUGCUUCUUCUA